rnacentral:rRNA from 1 species
AUGUUGAUGGAGAUUGGCCCUCACCCAAUGAGAGGAGCAUUGGUGAUGACGAUAGCGAUGAUUUCCCCCUCCCGGAGGGAAAUGUCCCCGGUAGAACAGCUCCGCUGGGGCCCUAGAUUGGUUCCGCCAAGGUUCCGCCUCAUGGCGGCGGAGUCUCGUCAUGAAAGCUUGCUUAUGAUUUUUUCCUCAACGAAAGACUCCAUAUAG